UUUAAUUUUUAUUGUUUUCUGAAACACCCCACUUCUUCAUCUCCUAGAUUUCCCAAGAAGUUGCAAAUCAACAACUCUUUACACGUUUGGUUUGGGGGGAGAACCUAAACUGACCCAAAAAGACAUUGUGGAAGAGAAAGAAAGAGAACAGAAGGAAAUAGGGGGAAAAAAAGGGAGAGGAGGUGGGCUGUCGCUUUCGUUCAUCCAUCAUUCCAUAUGUGCAGCCUGCAACUGCAUGCCAGAUGUAUUUAACUCGUUCUGUCUUGUUCUUCCUCUCCGUUGCUCACUCUCAAUUUUCUAGCAUUUUGUUCUCCGUAGUUAUUUCUUUCAACCCUACUUCUCUUUCAACUGCUAUUGGACUUCCUCAGUCUCAUAACCUGGGCUAUUUUAAUGGGAGGCAGUUAUUUUCAACUUUGCGGGUGCAUUGAAUAUAGCAUCUGUUCUGAAGGACAGUGUGCAGUGUGAGAAAUGCAGUGAAGGAGAGGGGAAUGUAUAGAUUUUUGCUUCAUAGAACAGAUGAUAUUUUUAGAUGGAGAUUUUUUUACAGAAAACUUUUUAUUUCCUUUGAUAUGGUCACAUGAUUAAAGACAGUGUGUUCUGCCCCCUUAUGGUGAGUAGAGGAAUGUGGAUACAGCCAUCACCUGCUCCCCAUACGAACCCUAUUACUCAGGAAGACACACAACAUAAACAUACCAUAUAGACACACAAAAAAAAAAACUAAAAUCUUUCAGGAAUUAUAACGAUCUAAUCCUGGAAUUUUAGCAGCUUACUUCAGGAAAAAGUGUCGACUGGAACAGGAUUUUCUCCUUACACAUAUCAGAGACACCCCCUAAACACUCACCGAUACUCUAAAGGUCCAGAUGUGAGCUGAAACUGAGUGGUGAUGUCAUCACAGCCCCAUGUCCACUCCUCUGCGGAAUCCAGAAAGCAGACAGAGGAGAGAAGUGGGGGAUGAGAGAGAAAGAGAAGGGAAAGCACCUGGACAUCCCAACGGCCUACAGUUCCUAUAAUGCAGAUGUGUGUGUGUGUGUGUGUGUGUGUGUGUGUGUGUGUGUGUGUGUGUGUGUGCGUGUGUGUGUGUGUGUGUGAGUGAGUGCGUGCGUGUGUGUGUUUUAAA